ACCGUUCUUAUCGAGGGCAGUUAGACAAGUCAAUGAGCAAAUUGCGAGACCUGUCUUGCUAACACCCUUUAUACAAUCAAUUAACCCUCCCUGUGAAGCCUCUGGGUAAUUUUUGGCUCC